GAGCACGAGCCGGCUGGCAGGUCUUGAGCAGAAGUGCGAGUGAGGACAGAGUAGCAGCGAGUUGCUUCGGUAGCGGUGCUACCACCGUCAGCAGGGCAAUAUGGCUGAUGUGGGAGGUGGAUGGAUCGCGUUUGAAAAGUUGACACGCCG